UUGCAAAUUUGUAAAUUCUUCAGAAUGGAACUAAUGGGAGCCCUUCUUUCCGCAGCGGCGGCUCACUGCCCCCUGGCUGGGCAGUGAGUCUGUGGGUU
ensembl:misc_RNA